AUUUAUGAUGAAAAACAAAAUUAAUUUAGAUACAUGGCCAUAAUGACUCCGUUACGUCCACGAAUGGGGAAAACGGCAACUUUAUGCGUAGCAGUAGGAAUUUGGACCGUUAGCGGAAUAUUUUCCGUUCCGAAUUUGUUGGUUUACAAAGUUUUUCAUCACGUCGAAGGAGAUAGACACAUUUGUUACCCGGAAUGGACGAACAGUUCUCAUCAGAAAACGUACGAAAUACUCUUUCUCUUCAUUACCUACGUGGUACCAAUCGGAAGUAUGACGUUUGCUUACGCAAGAAUUGGAAUUGAAUUGUGGGGAUCGCAAAGCAUUGGGGAGUGUACUCAACGUCAAAUGGAAAAUAUUAGAAAUAAAAGGAGGGUAGUAAAAAUGAUGAUGAUAGUGGUAAUAAUCUUCGCAGUUUGUUGGUUACCGUACGAUCUUUACUUUAUCAUAACCUCAUUUUACCCGGAAGUACAAAAUCAACCGUACAUUCAAGAAACUUAUUUGGCCAUUUACUGGUUGGCAAUGAGCAACUCAAUGUAUAACCCAAUCAUAUAUUGCUGGCUGAACGCGAGAUUUCGCCGUGGUUUUAAACAAGUUUUUUCUUGGUUACCUUACGUAAAUGUAAGCCCUGCUAAAUUAACGAGGAGGGGUGUGUUUACGAGCAACAGAAGAUCGUAUUCCGGAUCACCGGAUCAUAAUAGGAUCGUUCGGAAUGGUUUGUAUGCUCCCAACAAAACAGAAAAUCACUGAAAAAUGUUUUAAAGCAGCGCAUCUUGUUACGCUAUUUUUCCAAGCUUUCUAUUAAAGUAAAAAACCUCUUUUUUCUCUCUGUUUUUCCUGCUUUGCGGAAAGCUGUAGACGAUACCAGGAACUGUAAGAACUCCACUUUACAAUGCUUGUGCAAAUCAAAGCUCAGCGGAUACAUGUU
rnacentral:misc_RNA from 1 species